UGGGGAAUUUUGGACAAUGGGCGAAAGCCUGAUCCAGCCAUGCCGCGUGUGUGAAGAAGGUCUUCGGAUUGUAAAGCACUUUAAGUUGGGAGGAAGGGCAGUAAGUUAAUACCUUGCUGUUUUGACGUUACCGACAGAAUAAGCACCGGCUAACUCUGUGCCAGCAGCCGCGGUAAUACAGAGGGUGCAAGCGUUAAUCGGAAUUACUGGGCGUAAAGCGCGCGUAGGUGGUUUGUUAAGUUGGAUGUGAAAGCCCCGGGCUCAACCUGGGAACUGCAUCCAAAACUGGCAAGCUAGAGUACGGUAGAGGGUGGUGGAAUUUCCUGUGUAGCGGUGAAAUGCGUAGAUAUAGGAAGGAACACCAGUGGCGAAGGCGACCACCUGGACUGAUACUGACACUGAGGUGCGAAAGCGUGGGGAGCAAACAGGAUUAGAUACCCCCGUAGUCCCUGAGCGGGCUGGCAAGGCGCAU
rnacentral:rRNA from 1 species